rnacentral:rRNA from 1 species
GAUGAACGCUAGCGACAGGCCUAACACAUGCAAGUCGAGGGGCAUCACAUGAGUAGCAAUACGAUGGUGGCGACCGGCGCACGGGUGAGUAACACGUAUGCAACCUACCUGUAAGAGGGGAAUAACCCGUUGAAAAACGGACUAAUACCGCAUAACACUGUAGAACCGCAUGGUUUGACAGUUAAACAUUUAUGGCUUACAGAUGGGCAUGCGCAUGAUUAGCUAGUUGGUGAGGUAACGGCUCACCAAGGCAACGAUCAUUAGGGGUUCUGAGAGGAAGGUCCCCCACACUGGUACUGAGACACGGACCAGACUCCUACGGGAGGCAGCAGUGAGGAAUAUUGGUCAAUGGGCGAGAGCCUGAACCAGCCAAGUCGCGUGAAGGAUGAAGGUUUUAUGAAUUGUAAACUUCUUUUGCAGGGGAAUAAAGUGUCCGACGUGUCGGAUUUUGUAUGUACUCUGCGAAUAAGGAUCGGCUAACUCCGUGCCAGC